rnacentral:rRNA from 1 species
UACGGAGGGUGCAAGCGUUACUCGGAAUCACUGGGCGUAAAGGACGCGUAGGCUGUUUAGCAAGUCAGAUGUGAAAUCCAAUGGCUCAACCAUUGAACUGCAUUUGAAACUGCUAGACUAGAGUAUGGGAGGGGCGGAUGGAAUUAGUGGUGUAGGGGUAAAAUCCGUAGAUAUCACUAGGAAUACCUAAAGCGAAGGCGAUCUGCUGGAACAUUACUGACGCUAAGGCGUGAAAGCGUGGGGAGCAAACAGGAUUAGAUACCCUGGUAGUCCACGCCCUAAACGAUGAACACUAGUCGUCGCGAUGCUUGUCAUUGCGGUGAUGCACUUAACAGAUUAAGUGUUCCGCCUGGGGAGUACGGUCGCAAGAUUAAAACUCAAAGGAAUAGACGGGGACCCGCACAAGUGGUGGAGCAUGUGGUUUAAUUCGAAGAUACGCGAAAAACCUUACCUGGCCUUGACAUUGAUAGAAUCCUGUAGAGAUACGGGAGUGCCCUUCGGGGAGCUUGAAAACAGGUGCUGCACGGCUGUCGUCAGCUCGUGUCGUGAGAUGUUGGGUUAAGUCCCGCAACGAGCGCAACCCUCGUCCUUAGUUGCCAGCAGUUCGGCUGGGCACUCUAAGGAGACUGCCUUCGCAAGGAGGAGGAAGGUGAGGACGACGUCAAGUCAUCAUGGCCCUUACGGCCAGGGCUACACACGUGCUACAAUGGGGCGUACAGAGUGUUGCAAUACCGCGAGGUGGAGCCAAUCACUUAAAGCGUCUCUCAGUUCGGAUUGUUCUCUGCAACUCGAGAGCAUGAAGCUGGAAUCACUAGUAAUCGUAGAUCAGCAUUGCUACGGUGAAUACGUUCCCGGGUCU